CAAUACAAUUGUAUUUAAGUUGAACUGACCAUUUUUUUCAAUGGUUUCCUUUGGUCUAGCCUACAUCCUUGUGAGCGUUGGCUACACUGGUGUCAGAGGUGGGAUGUUGACUUUGAUCCCACUUCUGUGAAAAUGGACAAUAAAGAUUGUAUUCUAUUCUAUUUAUGAGGCUCUGUUCCUGUAUUGGCUGCUUUUGUAGUACGUCCUCGGGCAGAUCUGGAACGCGCCCAAUGGGUGAUUCAAGUAGGCUACAAGCGCGCUCGCUUUUGUGCGCUCCUGAAGGUACAGUAGUCACAUGAUCCAAACGGGAACAAACUCCCUUAGAACUCUUGACGGUGCAUACAUAGUGAUCUAGCUCUGAGCGCAACAUGAUCAUCGACAGAAUUAUCGAGAACGGCCUGAAUCUUGUGCAUCCAGGGACUGUUGUGACGAGCCCCGUGUAUUUGGGGUCUUUUUACCAGGAUAUCUCAAAUGCACCGGAGAUCAACAACUCUCUCUGUGCGCCAAACGAGUUGGAUGGCUGGGGAAAUGUUAUGAGCCCGACUCCGACAACUGCAGACAGUGGCACAAACGAGUGUUCCAUGAGUGAGGUGGCGUCUUUUGGCCGUUUCCAAGGAGUGCGGGUGAAGAAUACAGUGAAAGAACUCAUCAUGCAGAAGCGACUUAGCAACCAAAAUGUACAGCAAAACUCUGAGAGAGAAUACACAGAGUUGACGUCCCUUCUUCAAGGGCAUAAGAGGACUGCGGACUUCAGCUUGAUAACCGAUUCACCUGCUAAAAGACUUGCUACUGCAAAGGCAAUCCUGACUCUGAGCCCUCCAGAGGGAAACACACUGGACAUUGACUUCAUGGAACUGGGAUAUGAGUCUAUGAACUCAGAGACCUCCCCACAGGAGACCCUCACUGACCCCUUCAGCCUCAUCGACUAUCAGUCCCUCUACCCUCAAACCCACAUGCCACAUGCAUUGGGAAACUCCUAUGUCCCCCAGCCUUUCAUCGCCCCGCUAACCCCAAAGGGUGUUUGGCCAUUGGCUCAGUUUGCUGAAGGGGAGCCGAUGUCCUUCUUUCAAUGGCAGAUACGACAGGAAGAAGAGAAGUUGGCAGGGUUCACCCCCGAGAUGCUCACAAGCCAGGAUAAUGAGGGAGACACAUUCUUGCACAUAGCUGUGGCACAGGGCAGAAGGGCUUUAGCUUAUGUGCUGGCCAGCAGGAUGGCUACCUUCGGCAUGCUGGAUAUGAAGGAGCACAAUGGCCAGAGUGCCCUUCAGUUGAGUGUUGCAGCCAAUCAACAUCUGAUAGUGCAGGACCUGUUGGCCCAGGGGGCUCGGAUCAACACCGCUGACUGCUGGGGCCGCUCCCCUCUGCAUGUGUGUGCAGAGAAGGGCCACGCUCUCACUCUCCAGACCAUCCAAAGAGCUCUGAAGGGUAAAGGGCAGGAGCUUAAUGUGGAAGAAGUCAACUAUGAUGGCCUAACUCCUCUUCAGACAGCGGUCCGGUCUCACAAUGCGGUUGUCCAGGAGAUGGGCUGUAUGGCGGCGGCCCCCCAGUCCCCUGGGGUGGUGGAGUUGAUGCAGAGAAGGAAGCUACUGGGGCAGUGUGUCAACACACUGCUGCUCAUGGGAGCCUCCUGUGCAACUAAGGAUCAUAAAAGUGGCUGCACCUCCCUGCACAUGGCUUCUCAGGAGGCCAAUGUGGAGCUUUUACGCAUCUUCCUCGACCAGCCAGACUCUCUGUCUAUUGUCAAUGUCAAGGUGAGAUACUGCUACAGUACCUAAUGUCAAGGUGAGAUACUGCUACAGUACCUAAUGUCAAGGUGAGAUACUGCUACAGUACCUAAUGCCAAGGUGAGAUACUGCUACAGUACCUAAUGCCAAGGUGAGAUACUGCUACAGUACCUAAUGCCAAGGUGAGAUACUGCUACAGUACCUAAUGCCAAGGUGAGAUACUGCUACAGUACCUAAUGCCAAGGUGAGAUACUGCUACAGUACCUAAUGUCAAGGUGAGAUCUCGCCUCUCUGGAAAACAAACAUACAUGAUAACCAAUCAGUGUGCUGGCUCAAAUUCUGAGCUGACAAACAGUGUUCCCAUUGUUCAUAGUUUUUUGGUUAUCAGGAGGUAAGUUAACUAAACCCUCUAACAUGAGUUCUGUCUCCACCAGGCAUUCAGUGGAAACACAGCGCUGCACUUUGCCAGUUCUGUGCAUGGUCGCGUGACUCAGGUGGAUGCUGUGAAGCUCCUGAUGAGGAGAGGGGCCGACCCCAGCUCCAAGAACCUGGAGAAUGAGCAGCCUGCCCAGCUGGUGGCUGAAGGGCCCGUCGGAGACCAGGUGAAUAAUGCCCCAAAAUGGUUCUGUGGCUGUCCCCAUAGGAGAACCCUUUUGGGUUCCAUGUAGAACCUUCUGUAGAAAGGGCUCUACAUGGAACCCAAAAGGGUUCUACCUGGAACCAAAAAGGGUUCUUCAAAUGGUUCUCCUAUGGGGACAGCCGAAGAACCUUUUUAGGUUCUAGAUAGAAAAAAAAGGUGCUAAGAGUGUAAGCACAUCCAGGAACUUGCAGGUGCAGGGUACAAAAAGUACAGCAUGGUUCUACAUGAUAAAAAAAGAAAAUGAUGCCAUUGCCUGGAGAAAAACAUCUAAGAUCUCAGCACACGGCUGAACCCUCCCUCUGUGGGAGCAUUUAAUAGUGUUCUUGUGUCUAUCUUUCAGGUGAAUAUUCCCAUGUCCUUGUUUUAUUAUCAUGUAAUCAUUCUUUAACCAGGCAAGUCGAUUGAGAACCUUUUAUCAAUUACUAUUAAGGCCUGGUUAAGAUGCAAACACAGAGACGCAGUAAAAACAGAACAUGAAGAAUACACAAGUUCAAGUGUGGCAGACAGACAUUCAAAACACACACACACUUCAACAAGAUGGGACUGUAUUGCAAUAAUGUGCCUUUGGUUGUUUCUCUUAGGUGCGGCGUAUCCUGAAGGGGAAAGGCUACCAGGCCCGGUCUGCUGCCCAGUAGGAUGCAGGAUGUGAUCUCCUGUCUAGAAACACUGUCAGUCAGACAGUCCAGUCUAUGUAGAAAUUAUUUGCCAUCGUAUGUAUGGCAGAUGUCAGUUGUUUCAAUGAAACAGUGAAUGUUGUUCGCUACAGUGUAGUGUAUUUUGAGUAACCAUGUGAUCUUCUCCCUUAAAGGGGCAAUCUGCAGUUGUUACAUCCAUUUUUGGACUUGUAAAUGAUUCAUAUGUACCCAUUGUUUCUUGGAGAAUAUAACUUAUAAAUUCAUCAUGAGCUUAGUUCAACUGUCGUUCCCCAUCAGAACCCAAAAUAUAUCAUCUUGUUUUACUCCAAUGUUUGUAAACAAAGUACAUGGAAACCAACACUAUGAAAAGUAGCUUCCAAAUAUGGUUCAAACUAUAAUGUUGAUAUCAUGGAUGGUUACUCCUUAGCCGUGUCUAUGAAUUUGAGUGUUAACGUUUCUAGCCCCAUCCCUCAGCUUUUUACUGAAACGGGCAGGGAAUACGCUUUGUUCAUGUUUCAACUGCUGAUUACCGCUUUAAGGAAUGACGCCUGAAGGGGUUUUCACCACUAAACCACUUUGGGUUGAGUCACAGGUUGACUCACCUGUAAUGCCGGUGUGAAACACCUUGAGCUGGAAUGUGCAUUGUAGCUAGGGCUCGACCACAUAGUAACAGUGUAAUGUAGCUAGGGGUCGACCACAUAGUAACAGUGUAAUGUAGCUAGGGCUCGACCACAUAGUAACAGUGUAAUGUAGCUAGGGGUUGACCACAUAGUAACAGUGUAAUGUAGCUAGGGGUUGACCACAUAGUAACAGUGUAAUGUAGCUAGGGGUUGACCACAUAGUAACAGUGUAAUGUAGCUAGGGGUUGACCACAUACCAGUAACCUGAAGAGACGGGAGCUCAGAUUUGUUGAUGUUCUGGUACGGUGGCAGCAUGGGGGUCUUGCCUUAUUUUAUGUGUAUUUUCAUUUACUUUAUAAAUAAAUGAAAAUAAAUCAUGA